GGUCGACCAGGCCCGAUUCGAUCGCCUUGCCCGGCAACGACUGUCGCAACGGGUCCAGGCAGGCGGGGAAGAUCGUCACGAUAUCGAUGCGCACGCCUUACUCCAGAUUCAGCAAGCCAUGGGGCGGAUCAAUCUCAACGAUGCCGUCGUCCAAUGACACCGACGUGACGAUGGCACGCACAAACGGCACCAAAACCUCAUCGGAAUCACGCUUGACCGCCAGCAACUCACCAGCGGCGGUGUGCACCACUUCGGUGACGACACCAACACCCUCCCCCGUCGCCGUCUGGACCAUAAGCCCCACCAGCUGGUGAUCGUAAUAGGUGUCCGGCUCGUCGAUCGGGGGCAAGUCAUCGGCGUCGAUCACGAACAAGCUGCCGCGCAACGCAUCGGCUGCGUCUCGAUCGGCCACUCCAGCGAGUCGCACCAACAGGCGGCCGC
rnacentral:sRNA from 1 species